AUCCAGCUGACGAGUUCUAAAUAGGACGAAACGCGCGUCCUGGAU
rfam:Schistosoma curassoni strain Dakar, Senegal genome assembly, scaffold: SCTD_contig0002221